UACGUAGGGUGCGAGCGUUGUCCGGAAUUAUUGGGCGUAAAGAGCUCGUAGGCUGUGUGUCACGUCGGCCGUGAAAACCUGGGGCUUAACUCUGGGCGUGCGGUCGAUACGGGCAUCACUAGAGUUCGGCAGGGGAGACUGGAAUUCCUGGUGUAGCGGUGAAAUGCGCAGAUAUCAGGAGGAACACCGGUGGCGAAGGCGGGUCUCUGGGCCGAUACUGACGCUGAGGAGCGAAAGCAUGGGUAGCGAGCAGG
rnacentral:rRNA from 1 species